rnacentral:rRNA from 1 species
UACGGGGGGGGCAAGCGUUGUUCGGAAUUACUGGGCGUAAAGGGCUCGUAGGCGGCCAACUAAGUCAUACGUGAAAUCCCUCAGCUUAACUGGGGAACUGCGUGUGAUACUGGAUGGCUUGGAUUUGGGAGAGGGAUGCGGAAUUCCAGGUGUAGCGGUGAAAUGCGUAGAUAUCUGGAGGAACACCGGUGGCGAAGGCGGCAUCCUGGACCGACACUGACGCUGAGGCGCGAAAGCUAGGGUAGCAAACGGG